rnacentral:rRNA from 1 species
AGUGAACGCUGGCGGCGUGCCUAAUACAUGCAAGUCGAACGAAGUGGCGCACGGGUGAGUAAUAUAUAGUUAAUCUGCCCUAAACAGACUAACAACAGUUGGAAACGACUGCUAAUACCUCAUAGUUUAGGAUUAGACUAUAUCGUAUCAGGUAGUUGGUAAGGUAAUGGAUUACCAAGGCUAUGACGCGUAACUGGUCUGAGAGGAUGAUCAGUCACAUUGGAACUGAGCACCGGUCCAAACUCCUACGGGAGGCAGCAGUAAGGAAUAUAGCGCAAUGGGGGGAACCCUGACGCAGCAACGCCGCGUGGAGUAUGACACUGUUCGGAGCGUAAACUCCUUUUAUAAGGAAAGCGGUACCUGACGAAUAAGCACCGGCUAACUCCGUGCCAGCAGCCGCGGUAAUAC